rnacentral:snRNA from 1 species
GGAUGUGAAGGUGGCUGAGCUACAGCGUCUGUCACCCCAUUGAUCUCCAGCGUUAAUUAGGUGGCUGGCUGGCAAGUGCCCCUCCACCUUCUCUACUCCAUGUGCACCCCUGCUGAAGCUGCAUGCUUAGUGAAAGAGGACGAGUACCCUAAAAGAGGAGGACUGUUCCUCAGUCAAGGGUACACCAGAAGCCAUGCUUCCCCACAAGAACCUCCACACCAGUGCUCCAGAAAUUGCCAUGAAAGUUUUGUAUCAAUUCAGAGCAUUGAGGCAGCCAUGAAAAGACACUCAAG